rnacentral:misc_RNA from 1 species
AACGCAUCUUGCGCUCUUUGGUAUUCCAAAGAGCAUGCCUGUUUGAGUGUCAUUAAAUUCUCAACUGUACCAAUCCUGUUGGUGUAGCUUGGAUUUGGGGGACCAUUUGCAGGCCUUUCAAUUGAACGAAGCCAGCUCCUCUGAAAUUGAUUAGUGGUACCUUUGUGGAACCAAAGGCAUGAUAAAUAUCUAUGCCUUAGAUGUCCACAGCAAUAGGUUAUGCUGCUUCUAAUUAACUGAUUAAUGACAAAAUUGACCUCAAAUCAGGUAGGACUACCCGCUGAACUUAA